GACGAACGCUGGCGGCGUGCUUAACACAUGCAAGUCGAACGAAGUGGCGAACGGGUGAGUAACGCGUAAUCAACCUGCCCUUCAGAGGGGGACAACAGCUGGAACCGACUGCUAAUACCGCAUACUGAAGGAGGGGAUUGCGUCUGAUUAGCUAGUUGGAGGGGUAACGGCCCACCAAGGCGAUGAUCAGUAGCCGGUCUGAGUGGAAGAACGGCAACAAUGGGACUGAGGCACGGCCCAGACUCCUACGGGAGGCAGCAGUGGGGAAUCUUCCGCCAUGGACGGAAGUCUGACGGAGCAACGCCGCGGGGGUGGUGACGGCCUUCGGGUUGUAAAGCUAUGUUAAUCGGGGCGCGGUACCAGAAUAGAAAGCAACGGCUAACUACGUGCCAGCAGCCGCGGUAAUUC
rnacentral:rRNA from 1 species